UAAUUAUAAUUCAAGGCGG
rnacentral:siRNA from 1 species